UUUGAAUUACAAAUUACCCUGGGUUGUAACCGCCGUUAGCUCGAUCCAUAUCCCUCUCAAUUGAUUUAGCAGGUGAGGGCUUGUGCAUCUAUAGUCGUUCUCUCAUGGACUAGUGGCGGAAUCUUCUUGCGUUGUUUUUCAGCCAAAUGUACAAUUAUUCUAAUUGCGGUAGCGAGGAAGGUAAAUUCCGGUCAACCUCAUCUUCCUCCACCACAUUCAACCACCGCAUCGCCACCGCGAUACUCUUAACAUGAAAACCCUAACUCAAGCCUUUGCCAAGACCUCCGCGGCGAUCGAGAACACCGUACAGACCAUCGUGCAAGACGUCAUCGGUCCCAAGCCUCUCCACCACUACGAUCUCCUGGACCAGAUCGGUUCGGCCGGUCCAGGUCUGGCCUGGCAGCUUUAUUCAGGGAAAACGAGGAAUGAAUUCGAUAUCGCAGCAGUAUCCAACGGUGUGUGUUUGGUUGCUUGAUAAGCGUGCGUUGGCGGAGGCGAGAGUGCGUGUCGGUUUGUCGAAAGCCGCGGAGGACUCGUUUUUGGAUGUCAUUAGAGCGGGACUCUGCGAGGUUGAUUAGGCUGAGGCAUCCUGGCGUGCUUCAUGUUGUGGAGGCGUUGGAUGAUAGUAAGAAUGCUUUGGUUAUGGCUACAGAACUGUUGUUUGCGUCGGUGGCCAAUGUGCUUGGGAAUGUCGAUAAUAUUGCUAAGGUUCCUAAGGAGCUUAAAGGAAUGGACAAUGAAAUCAGACUCUGGAAAAGAGAUGAAGAUCAAGACUAUUUGUCACUAAAGAGAUGGAGGAACGAAAAUUGGUGAUUCCUACAAAAUAAUUCUCUCCAGCAAUUGUGAGCUUCGCGGAGAUACAAAGCGGUGGAAUCGCUAAGAGAAGUGGAGCAAUGUGUGUUGGAGGUGCUUCCAAAAGAGCGUUGGGAAGAGGAAUUAUGUUUAUGUGUAGCUCUUCGCGCCUCAUCCUCUGCAACGUCCUCGAAAAAGAUCAAUCAUGGGGCUGUUCUCAAGAGAGGCUGGUCGAAUAAAUUUUCGGAUUGCAUUCUUUGUUUAGAAGGUUAUUAUGAGUGGACGUGAGCGGGUGGAAUUGGAGUAUGGAGGUAUGGUGGAACUCAGGGGCGGAUCCAGAAUCCGUCAUCCACCCGGGCUAGCCAAAUUUUCACUUGAACAAAACCAGGAGAGGACCCUGGCUUGAGCCAACUCCGGUCCAAGUUUGGGUUUGCCCCUGGUGGAGCUAUGAGGAUCACAUCUUUACAAAAGGAGAUUCACUUUUGAAGUUUAGUAGUGAGAGUGCUGAUGAUUCUUCUGAUGAAUUUGGAUCAUUACUAUGAAGAUCUAUUCUUCUUCAGAUAUUUGGCGAUGGGUCACAUGAGAAAUCCAAAAUGGCCAAUGAUUUGAGUUUCAUUUUUGAUCAUUUUGCCCUGGCACUUUUACAACAAGCUUAUGUUACAGAUAGACGGAUUUCAACCUCCAUUAAAUUCAAUGGUAGGUAAGAUUCAGAUUAAAUUGUACGAGGUUUAAUAGAAGUACAAUAUGAAACCUGGAUGGCGUGGUUAAUAUGAGAUAUCAAGACAUUAGCUGAAUCCAUCAGUCCCUGAGAAAAGUUGUUAAGAUUGAAUUAGGUAACUACCAGAGCCUCACAUAUCUUCCGAGAAGCAUCUGCAAUCUCAGCAUAAUGGAAUGUCUUUGUCUUGAACUUGGUGGUUGUUCAACUCUUGAAGGGCAUCUGACACUUAAGAGGAGGGUAGGACGUGGGGGAUUUUAGAAGCCUAACUUAUCAGCCAUACAGCGGUAAAUUCAAGAUACAUGAACUGGGUUUCCUUAAUAAAAUGCCUUUUAGUAGAGGAUUAAGAAGUGAUAUGAGGAUUGUAGCAAUGAACUACAGGACAGAAGCUUUGCCUCCAACAUAGGUACUCAUAUGAGUUGUAUGUAUAGUUGUAGAGUAUCCAUUAACAUCUUUUAUACAUAGGUUGCACACUUGUGUGUCCUUCCUUCGAGAAACAGACGCAUAUCGUAUUGAAAUUCCCUCAUGUGGAUAGGAAAACUAUUUAGAAAA